rnacentral:rRNA from 1 species
GACGAACGCUGGCGGCGUGCUUAACACAUGCAAGUCGAACGGAAAGGCCCUGCUUUUGUGGGGUGCUCGAGUGGCGAACGGGUGAGUAACACGUGAGUAACCUGCCCUUGACUUUGGGAUAACUUCAGGAAACUGGGGCUAAUACCGGAUAGGAGCUCCUGCUGCAUGGUGGGGGUUGGAAAGUUUCGGCGGUUGGGGAUGGACUCGCGGCUUAUCAGCUUGUUGGUGGGGUAGUGGCUUACCAAGGCUUUGACGGGUAGCCGGCCUGAGAGGGUGACCGGCCACAUUGGGACUGAGAUACGGCCCAGACUCCUACGGGAGGCAGCAGUGGGGAAUAUUGCACAAUGGGCGGAAGCCAGAUGCAGCAACGCCGCGUGCGGGAUGACGGCCUUCGGGUUGUAAACCGCUUUCGCCUGUGACGAAGCGUGAGUGACGGUAAUGGGGAAAGAAGCACCGGCUAACUACGU